GUUGGGAUAGCAGCGACGCCGUCGACAUCGAUACAGGACGGGGAGCAAGUACCAGCGAGGGCGUUUCUUUCUUUCCCUUCCUCUGUCAACAUCGAGGCGGGACGGCAAGCAGGGAGCGACAGCGGUUUUUCUUUUCCAUCCACUACUAUGGUAUUCUUCCGUGUAAUUUUUCUGUGGAUUCAGGACCUCUAGCUGCUUUAAGGUUCAGUUGUGUCGCCAUUGGUGGCGGCUUGGUUCUUCUCUUCGAUCUUUGCUGCUUUGUGUUGUUUGUCUUACUGAAGAUUACCCAUCUGGAUGUAGGCUGUUGAAAUUUCUCCCAAAUUCCUACGAGUAAUCGACGUGGUGAUGGCCGCCGGCGAGCUCCCGGGUGCAUCUUGAGGACUUCAAUGACUUCGCCGGCCUGCCCGUUGCAGGCACUGUAGGAAUCCGCCCUACAGGUCUUGGGAUCUAUUUACUUCUGCUCUUCAUGCGAUUGUUGUCGCUCAAUGUCAGACAGGUCAGAAGAACAAUGCAGACAUUAAUGAAAUAUGUAUCGCGUCGAAGUCAUUAGUGGAGAAUCAUUUGCAAUAGUCUACAAGCACAGAAAUCACGAAACAUGGAAGAAUCUGUAUGAACUGGUUUUCAUUGCUGUUGACCGUGAGGUAUCCCACUUGACACACAACUCACUACUUCACACUUGAUUUACUUAUCAUUACACCCUUACAUGCAAAGUGAAUGUGGAGUUAUCCCAAUUUAAUGGUUGUUUUAUUCACGAGAUUUCAAGUUCUGGGAAAAAAAAAUGCGGUCUCGGUCUUUGCAGGUUCAUUAUAGUCCAGCUUCUUCGACGUGCUGAACCAAGCUACUCUUAUUUGUUUCAAUAUUUAAAUACCAUGAAAAAAAGUCCUUCAAUAUUAUCAUGAUAAAAUUCCAAUGAAGAAUAGAUGUGCAAAGGACAAAACCGAGGGUGCCCCAUGUCAUCCUCCGGGGGCGACCUGGAAACGAACCUUAGGCCCAGUUUGGUAGCUCCUUAUUUUUUAAGUAUUCCAAAAGUACUGCAGUUUCUGAAAAUACUACAGUAUACAAAACUUUGAGGUGUUUGGCUCUAACAGAUAUUGAAGUUUCCAAAACCACAGUAUCCCCAAAACUGUGGUUUUUUUUAAGUAUGUAAAAAGAGGUCCGACCCUCUUUUUUCUAAAACUGAGAAACGAUGCCGUCCUCAUCUUCUCGCUGAUCUAUCACUGCGCUUCCGUCCCUGACAAGCACGCCGUAUUGAUCAUAAACUCAUGCCGAGUUUCUUCCAUUAGCGGGAGGGUCCGUUCUUGCAGCGAUUCUUAAACUCAUGCAAGUUAACCAGAAGAGCGAGCAUGCUUGCAUGUCGUGAUCUAUCACGAUAAGGAAAAGAAAGUGUAUGUAUCAUUCAUGUUUGCAUGCAUGCAAUCUAUAUAGUUGAUUGUCAAUCUAUACAUCAACUCAUGCAACGGGCCUUAUGCAGCUACGGUGUCAGUCAAAACUUGAUUAUCCAUGUGUCAAAACAGCACUUGCCAAACACCUCUGUAGUUUUUCCAAAACUGAGGAAAACUCUGGUUUCAAGAAAAUAAAGUAUUCCGGUGCUUGGCAUUGAAAUACUCUGGUUUUAUAAUACUUCAGUUUUAGAAAAACUUUGUUGUCAAACUAGACCUUAGCUGCCCGGCAAAGCUCGUGCGGAGUCGGCGUGCCCUUCCUUUUCCACUCGCGAGGUAUGCUGAGGUGUUGCAUAUUUGUCUUUGUAUUAUGCUAUUCUAAAGUGAUUAUGGUGAAUCAUCUUCUUUACUAUUUGGCGCAGUUCGCAGGCUGCAAUUUCAGUUGGCAACCUAAUCUUAUAAUGUGCACAGAAGCUUCUUAAUGUAAGAAAAAUAUGUUAAAAUCAUUUACACCUUUGAUAUCAUAGUCUUGCCUGCCAUGUUAAUUGCAGUACUUAAUCUCUUCAGGGGGAGGGGCUAAGCAAGAAGUUGAAUUGGUAAUGCUUACCUCUUCCUUCUACUUUGUUCAGUUUAGAAACACCUUUUAUGUUUGCUUGAUAAAAUGUCAUGCUGCUGUUGGUAUACAUAUAUAACUACACUUCAAUUGACAUAUAUCUCUUAUUGUAGUUUCUUAAACGCCUCUUCUGCCCACCACUUUUAUAACAUGUUCAUGUAAAAUCAAUUGAAUGCCAAGUUCAUUUGCGUAGCAGAUUUCCCAUUCUUGGGCAUCCUUCGAGAAGGAUCUACUUACCUGAAAAGACAGACCAUAAUGAGCACGGAAAACAAAACAAGAACAAACCUUUAGAGGCCUGUUGCAUGUUGGUGGCGUGCCCACUAUGAUUAUAUUUCAAUUCUCUGUCCAUUUUGGGUGCUCCUUCUUUAUAUUUACAGUUAUUCUUUUAUAAACCUCUGCACCUUCAUCUAUAUAACAACCCAUUGAUAUUUGCUUUCAACCAUACAUAGCUAGCUUCCACCAUGUAAAUAUUUUGUUCAUGAACUGCGAUCUAUUGAAUAUUCGGUACUGCAAACAAAAUUAAAAAGCAUAAGAAAUCGAAAAAAUGGAAUUCCAACUAGAUCUUGGCAAUACAAUCACCGCUUAGAAGUGUACUGCAUGGUAUGUUGCUAUUGAAGCUACAGCAGCCAUGGUGCGGAUCAAAGCGUCACUGUUGUAUCUUACAGAUUUGACACAGAUCUCCGAGAUGGCAACUGCAAUUGUGCAUUACUUUAUAUAUUUAUACUUCGUUUUCUAUAUUCUAUGUACUGUUUGAUGCAACAAUUUUCAUUGGUAUGUACAUACAAAGAACUGAUCGAUCAAAUCAAUUGUAGGGGCAAGACCAUAUAACAGUAAUAUUAAAGAGGAGUAUUUUGCUUAGGUACUGAUGUGUACCAAGAUGAUGUUUAGAUAGCUAAAUUCAGGUGUCUGCAAACGAUAUUUGCAAACACUCAGUGUUGAAGCUACCUACAAGAGCUGAUGCAUUUCCAAAGAAGAGUAUCUAGAUAAUAAUGUUACCAAUAGUGUAGAUCAGAACUACUGGAUAAUUCAUGCAUUGUAAUGGGAAUGUGCAACGACAUUGUCUCGCCCAAUAUCCAGCAGGAAUGUGUUCAUGUGCUGUCUGGCUCAGUCCAGUAGAAAUGUGUACCAGCUCGGUCCUGCUCAGUCAAAUGUAUCCAUGUGGUCUCACUCAACAUUAUUCUCCGUGUAAUCCAAUUUAAAUGUCUGUUAGCGCUGUCAA